rnacentral:rRNA from 11 species
CUUAGAUGUUCUGGGCCGCACGCGCGCUACACUGACAGAGCCAGCGAGUCUACCACCUUUGCCGGAAGGCAUGGGUAAUCUUGUGAAACUCUGUCGUGAUGGGGAUAGAACAUUGCAAUUAUUGUUCUUCAACGAGGAAUACCUAGUAAGCGUGAUUCAUCAGAUCGCGUUGAUUACGUCCCUGCCCUUUGUACACACCGCCCGUCGCUACUACCGAUUGAAUGGCUUAGUGAGCCUUUGGGAUUGGCAGCUUGUACCGGCAACGGUAGCAGGCCGCUGAAAACUUAGGCAAACUUGGUCAUUUAGAGGAAGUAAAAGUCGUAACAAGGUUUCCGUAG